GAGGAAUACAUCGGAAUCUACUUUUUCGUGGGGGAUAACGUAGGGAAACUUACGCUAAUACCGCAUACGACCUACGGGUGAAAGCAGGGGAUCUUCGGACCUUGCGCGAUUGAAUGAGCCGAUGUCGGAUUAGCUAGUUGGCGGGGUAAAGGCCCACCAAGGCGACGAUCCGUAGCUGGUCUGAGAGGAUGAUCAGCCACACUGGAACUGAGACACGGUCCAGACUCCUACGGGAGGCAGCAGUGGGGAAUAUUGGACAAUGGGCGCAAGCCUGAUCCAGCCAUACCGCGUGGGUGAAGAAGGCCUUCGGGUUGUAAAGCCCUUUUGUUGGGAAAGAAAUCCAGCUGGCUAAUACCCGGUUGGGAUGACGGUACCCAAAGAAUAAGCACCGGCUAACUUCGUGCCAGCAGCCGCGGUAAUACGAAGGGUGCAAGCGUUACUCGGAAUUACUGGGCGUAAAGCGUGCGUAGGUGGUCGUUUAAGUCCGUUGUGAAAGCCCUGGGCUCAACCUGGGAACUGCAGUGGAUACUGGGCGACUAGAAUGUGGUA
rnacentral:rRNA from 1 species